CUUCCAGUAGCACCUUAGAGACCAGCUAAAUUUGUUAUUGGUAUGAGCUCAUGGAAGCUCAUACCAAUAACAAACUUAGUUGGUCUCUAAGGUGCUACUGGAAG